rnacentral:piRNA from 1 species
UGAGAUAAAAUGAUCUUGCCUAACUUC